CCGAGUAAUACAUAUUAAAUAGGCAUAUCUAAUUGAGGAUCCUAUCAAUUAACUACAACAAGAAUGUAGUUGAACAAAUAGAGAUUAAACAGGGCAAACUAUAUUAAAACAACAAGAAGUUCAUCCCUCAACAGGUUCCAUCAAAACCUUAGACUAAAUAAUUAGCUACUCAUAAUCGUAUUCAUAAUAACAACAACAAAAUUCAUCAUGAAUGAUAAAUAUAAAAGGAAGAAAGGUAGAACUCAAUGUUGAAUUAUCCACCUUGCCUCUUCUUGCCUUCAAUAAAGCUAUAAAAACCUUGAUAAUCUCUUUUUGGGUGAGCUGGACCUCUUAUAGGUUAAGUGGAAUUGCCCCCAAACUUCCAAGUUUACCCCUGAAAUUUCUACGUUCCAGAUUGACUAGCGCGGUCGCGCUCGAACCGCGCUAGUGGCCGCGCAUAUCGCAUAGUAUACUAUCCCGUUUUCCUGCUUUAGCACGGUCACGUUAAGGCCGCCCUUGGCCCGCGCUAGAGUGAAUAAGCAUUUUCUCUCUUCUUUUCUUUCUUCUUUCACACGUACUCAGCUCCAAGGGGUUUCCCUUGCUUUAAUUUAGCUCCAAACACUGUCCUAAGUCCUCAUAAGCACAACUUGCUCCUGCAAAAUAUGAAAUUCACAAUUAGAGCCAUUUUAUCGUCAUUUAACCUUCCUAGAAUAGUGAAGCAUAGUCAAAUUGGGGCAUAAAUAGUUGCCAAACUACAUGAAUCUAGACUAUUAUCAACACCCUACACUUAAAUCAUUGCUAGUCCCCGAGCAAUCUACCAUACUCUAUAAAGGUUCCUUCACUGAGCUUUUCCCUAACGUAUCACACCAAGAACAAAUCACCGAAGUUACGUCUAGUAGUGUAACAUCUUUGCCUCAAGAGUCGAUUAUCACGUGCUGUGCAAUAUUCAUACUUACUCAAAUUACUCUAUAGAGAGGUCAAGACUUACCUUUACUUCGUGAAUCAAAUGCCCUCACAUCACACAAGAGAGUAUUUCCACAAAUAAUAAUAUUAAGAACAAUUAGGAACUUAGAUAGAGAAAAGUCGCUCACUCUCAGAAAGAAAAUUCAUAUGCCACACAGAUGCACCAUAGGCUUGCCCUUAGUGUACUACUCUACUAAUAAAGCUCAUUCAGUCUAAGAUCAAUUAGGACUUUAUUUGGUUGUAAUGUAGGCUAAGGGACGGGUAGGAUAUAUUUGGAUAUCGUGACAAACCUCCCUAAAUACUUUUAAUACAAUCACCUUCGCAUUCAGAACCAUACUUAUGACAGACCAGACAUUCCGCCACACUUCUAUUUAUAAUACCCCAAACUCCAUUAGGUGCAAUUGUAUCAAGUCACCACUUAUCAAGGACUACAUUUACUUAUUUCUUUUCUCUCUUUUUUUUCUCUUUUAAGUGGCUCUUAUUCUUUUAUUUUUCAAAAUACUGUACCUUUUUCUCUAUUUCAUUAGUUCCACUCAAAAACCAAACCACCACCCUACACUUUAACUUUUGCAUAUUUCAUAACAAUUCAAGUGCUCAUGGGAGGUAAAGUGGUUCAAACAGAUAGGUCGUUCAAACAAUUGGGUAAGGUUUGUAAUGUGGUUGCCAAAGAAAUAGGCUUAUAGGCUCAAUGGGGUUAAGUACGAUGUAUCGCAUUUAGGUGGGUCUACUUUAUAUAUCUAGCUUAACAAAGAAAUGCCUAUAUCAUUUCUAAGGCUGAAUAAAGCUAUUAUUUCGCUUUGCAAACACAUGAGGCAAGUUCUAGGCAUCAAAUGCAGAGCAUAGAAUACAAUACAACUCGCACACACAUGGCACAUGACUCACUCUGGAUUGGCUUAUCAAGACACUCUCGCUUGAGUACUCAAGUUAGUGACAAACAUACAAUUUAAGGCACUCUAACAAGAAUUAACCACUGAGACUAAGUGUCACACUCUAGUGUCUACUGUGUUCAGGUGUAUCAACGCUAAGGGCUUCUCUUCCUAUUUCAGCUCAUCGCCUAUAAGUACAAACUAAAAACUAGAAACAAAAUAAAUAAAAACUAACUACACUCGGUUUAAGAAAAACCCUUGGAAAAGAACCGCGGCCCAAAGAAAAACCAAGGGGGUUACUACACUACCUAAAACAAAAAAAAUCUUUUUGGUAUUUUCUUUAGACUUACUUUCCUCAAGAAAACUGUCUAGACGAUCCGUCAUCAGGAAGAGUCCACAUAUUUCUAUUUUUUUUUUAGAUUUUCCCGUCGACUUAGACCCUCAAGAACCCCGUCGAAAGAGAUUUGUCGUCGGGACAAGUCGACUUACCUAAUUUGACUGCUACUCAAAACCCCAAAAACAAAGAAAACAUAAUACAAUCAAGAAAAACAAAGAAAACAUAAAAUAGUAAAGUUCUUACAUAUAUACACAUACAUUGAAGUAUCCCUCACCCCACACUUAAAAGGAAGACAUGUCCUCAUGGCAUACAAAAUAAAGAACAAUGAGGUAAGGGAACUUCCCUGAUUGAUCAAUCUUGAUUGGAGACCGUCUCCGGGUUCAUAUGACAUGCACGACCUAGAGCUCGCAGCCAACCCAAUAUUUUCUUCUCUGAUUUAACCUGCUGGGCGGCCACCGCAUCAACACGUGUACAUAGGUCAGCGACCGAGGUACGCAACCUUGCCACCUCCCGCUCUAAGGCUGUGAACCGGGUAACCCGACCAACCUUAGAUGGUCCUGCAGCCUCUGCAAUCUGCUCAUGGGCCGGUGACUCGACCCUUACUUCCUCCUUCUCAUCCUCCCCUUCCUCAUAUUCCUCGGAGUCAGAAUUAUCAUCACCACCAAGUGCCACAAGCUCCUUCCCAGUAGUUACCUUAUCAGCUUGGAACUUGGAGUCUCUCAGCACUAUCCCAUCCACAUUCAAAUUUUUCGGCACCCGAGCUGCCCAGCAAAGCCUAGUGACUAGGGGAGGGAAGAAGAAAACAUACCUCUUCCCCAAGCAACAUCUAAACAUCUCCUUGUGAAUAAGCUUGGCCAUGUCAAGGUUGUGACCAUUUAUAAAGCACCAAAUUAAAGCAGCUCAAGGAGCAUUCACUUCUGUAGUAUUGGAAGACGGGAUUAGGCGGUUGUUGAUGACAUACAACCAGCACUUCCCUUCAAAGGUGAGUGCCGCAGAAUGAAACUUCUUCCCAUAUUUCAUCCAUACAAUUUCUUUGUCGGGUACACAAAUGGUUUUAAAGAACCGCUCCUACUGGUGUAUCUUCUACCAUAUAGUUCAUAAUAGUUGUCCAACUCCUCCAUAGGUCUGGGCAGCUGGUAUAUCCUCAUAAUAGCCACAACAAAGGCAUCCACAGCCUUCUUGCGCAGUGUUACUACACCAUUUACAUGUUCUUUUACGUUGGCAUAGAAUUUACGUACAAUCAUCAAAUUCCCCUCGUCCGGCUCUUCAAAGAAGAUUUGUAGCCCACGCUUGACCAGCUCAUUAUACAAGUUGGGGCAGCCAAGCUGGAACGACCCUAUAUCUAUUCCCCUCUCUGGUAUUGGUUUCUUAGGAGCCUUAUCAACAAAAUGGUCCUGAGCCUUGGUGGAGAUGAACCUGUUACUAUCAAAAGGACGAGUAGGAGCUGACUUGCGCGCUCUGGAAGAUCCAGCUUGACCGCUGGAUGAAGCGCCGAUGGUUCGGCAUUUCCUGGAGGGUGCCAUAGUACCUUGAAGAAGAAUAGAAUUAACACAGCACAAAAGGUGCGACUCAACUGCGGUUACUCAGACAUCACCCGCACAAUUGGGCACAAUUAUCAUUUACACUCAAUGUGGAAUUUAAACAAAUACUUUGUGGGUAUCAUAUACCGGAACCCCCAAUUAAAUAUGUUGUAACCCAAUUACUACCACAAUUUCCCCAAAUUCACCCAACUAAGUUAAGAGAUACAACUCCACAAACAUCACCACCCACAAGCACUACACAUACACUACAAAUUAUUUCUAAAAAAAAGAGAAGAAAAACUACUACAUAAUUAAGAAGUCAAACAAAAUUCUACAAAAAUUGGAAAAACGAAAACCUUACCUGCAGUGAGAGAAGAUUGUGAGAAGUGAAGAAGAGUAGUGGAAGGGGGAUUGGCUUGAACUUUGGGAAUUGGGGCUGGGAUUAUUUGGGAAUGGAGAAGAGGGAAAUUAAGAGAAGAUGGGAAUUAGGGUUGGGGUUCUUAGGCGUUGGGUGUUGAUAGGAGAAAAGGGGAAUAGUUAGGGGGUAGGGAUAAACAAACUAAACCAAUUAACAUACAAAAUAAGAAAAUAAAAAAAAUGUUAAGUUAGGUAGAACGGUACUAGCGCGAUCGUAGCGCGGUCCGAGCGCAGCCGCGUUAGUUAGACAGAAUGUUUGGCCAUAUGCGCGGCCACUAGCGCGGGCGCGCUCCUAGGCUUCAAAAAUUUUCCACUUUUUUACCUUUUCCUUCAGCGUCUGAUGGACUUAUCACUUGCCAAGCUCACCUGCACUCGUUAGUAUUUAUCAAAAUCAAAAAUAAUAAAUACUAACUAUACUAAAGUCACUACGCAUUAGGUUGCCUCCUAACCAGUGUCUUAGUUAAUGUCGUGGCACGACAGUUACAACAAGUCAAUGGGUUGCCUCCUAUGCAGCACCUGAUUUAACGUCGCGGCACAACGCAGAUGAGCGAUUUAAGGCUCGCUCGACCUCUGAGGUUCAGUCAGAUGGAUCACUGACACUUCCUUGGUUUCAUCUAUGCACACAUAUGGUUUCAAUCUUUGCCCAUUGACUCUAAAUGUAUGGGAAUCUUUCUCUGAGGCAAUCUCUAUGGCACAUGAAGGGAGCACUUCGACCACCCAAAAUGGUCCAGACCAUCGUGACUUGAGUUUACCCAGAAAUAACCUUAGUCGUGAGUUAUAAAGCAACACCAUGUCUCCGAGAUUGAAAUUUCGCUCAACAAUGUUCUUGUCGUGCAACCUCUUCAUUCUCUCCUUGUAUAACCUCGUGCUCUCGAAAGUAAGAAAUCAGAACUCGUCUAGCUCAUGCAAUUCUGUGACUGUAUUUGUUCCCGCAGCCUCAAUGUCCAGAUUUAGUCGUUUCAUUGCUUACCAAGCUCUAUGUUAUAGUUCCACUGGCAAGUGACAUGCCUUCCCGAACACCAACUUAUAUAGUGACAUACUACUUGGUGUUUUGAAAGCGGUUUUGUAGGCCCAGAGUGCAUCAUCUAGAUUUUUCACCCAAUCAACUCUUGUGGUGUUCACAGUCUUGGUCAGCACACUCUUUAUCUCUCUAUUCGACACUUUGACAUGUCCACUAGUCUAAGGAUGAUAUGGGGUUGCCACCUUGUGGCGCACAUCAUACUUUGCUAGCAAUUUCUCGAAGGCUCGAUUGCAAAAAUAAGUGCCUCCGUCACCGAUAAUAGCUCUCGGGGUCCCAAAACGGGUGAAUAUAUUCUUCUUCAAAAACCCUACCACCAUUUGGAUCAUUGGUGGGGAGUGAUGUAGUUUCCACCUAUUUGGACACGUAAUCUACAGCAACAAGUAUGUACUUAUUGCCAAAGGAGCCGACGAAGGGGACCAUGAAGUCUAUCCCCAUACAUCGAACACUUCAACCUCUUGAAUUGGGUUCAUGGGCAUCUUAUGGCGAUGGGAGAUGUUCCCGGUUCGCUGACAUUUAUCACAGCGCUUCACCCAUUGAUAUGCAUCCUUAAACACUGUUAGCCAGUAGAACCCAGCUUCUAGAACUUUUGUUGUCGUCCUGACUCCUCCAAAAUGUCCGCCAUAUGUCGAUGCGUGACAUGCCUACAAAACAGAAGAUUGUUCUAUCUCGGGGACACACCUCCGGAUCAUAUUGUCAACACAAAUUUUAAAUAGAUAAGGUUCAUCCCAGUAAUACAUGUGGCAGUCGUGGUAAAACUUUUUCUUUUGCAUGGAGGAAAGGUCAUAGGGAACUAUACCGCUUGCCAGGUAAUUUGUAAAGUCUGCAUACCAUGACACUUACUCAAGGCUUGUGGCGAGUAGCUGCUUGUCUAGAAAGGUUUCCAGAAUAUCCUCUGCCUCAACUGAAUUUUCAGCUCCUUCAAGUCGCGAUAGAUGAUCAGUGACCUGGUUUUUUGUGCCCUUACAGUCACGAAUCUCCAAGUCGAACUCUUGCAGUAACAGCACCCAACGAAUCAGGCACGGUUUGGACUCCUUCUUUUCAAUCAAGUACCUAAGAGCAGCAUGAUCAGUAAAUACAAUUACCUUAGAGCCAAUCAGGUAUGAUCUGAACUUGUCGAAUGCGAACACCAUGGCCAGCAUCUCCUUUUUAGUCACAACGUAGUUCAACUGGGCUACACUCAAUGUUCUACUAGCAUAGUAAAUUGGGUGCAUUAUCUUGUCUUUCCGCUAUCCUAGCACUUCCCUCACUGCAUAGUUACUGGAGUCACACAUGAUUUCGAAUGGUUUCUCCCAGUCGAGGGCAACAAUGAUGGGUGGUGUGACUAGCCUCUUUUUCAACUCCUCGAAUGCUACCCUUCAGAAACAUGAAAGAGUGAUUUUUUUCUAACAACUUACAGAGAGGGUUGGAAAUUUUUGAGAAGUCUUUGAUGAAUCUCCGGUAAAAACCGGCAUGCCCGAAGAAGCNNNNNNNNNNNNNNNNNNNNNNNNNNNNNNNNNNNNNNNNNNNNNNNNNNNNNNNNNNNNNNNNNNNNNNNNNNNNNNNNNNNNNNNNNNNNNNNNNNNNNNNNNNNNNNNNNNNNNNNNNNNNNNNNNNNNNNNNNNNNNNNNNNNNNNNNNNNNNNNNNNNNNNNNNNNNNNNNNNNNNNNNNNNNNNNNNNNNNNNNNNNNNNNNNNNNNNNNNNNNNNNNNNNNNNNNNNNNNNNNNNNNNNNNNNNNNNNNNNNNNNNNNNNNNNNNNNNNNNNNNNNNNNNNNNNNNNNNNNNNNNNNNNNNNNNNNNNNNNNNNNNNNNNNNNNNNNNNNNNNNNNNNNNNNNNNNNNNNNNNNNNNNNNNNNNNNNNNNNNNNNNNNNNNNNNNNNNNNNNNNNNNNNNNNNNNNNNNNNNNNNNNNNNNNNNNNNNNNNNNNNNNNNNNNNNNNNNNNNNNNNNNNNNNAAAGAGUGAUUUUUUUCCUAACAACUUACAGAGAGGGUUGGAAAUUUUUGAGAAGUCUUUGAUGAAUCUCCGGUAAAAACCGGCAUGCCCGAAGAAGCUCCUGAUUGCCUUGACUGAUGUAGGGGGAGGCAGCUUUGCUAUCACAUCAACUUUAGCACGAUCCACCUUGAUUCCCUUGCUUGAUACCCGAUGUCCCAAGACUAUAUCCUCUUGUACCAUGAAAUGAGACUUUUCCCAAUUAAGUACAAGGUUAGUCUCGAUACAUCUUUUCAAUACUCGAGUCAGGUUUGUAAGGCACUCAUCCAAUGAAUUUCCUACCACUGAAAAAUCGUCCAUGAACAUCUUCAUUAUGUCUUCGACCAUGUCGGUAAAUAUGGCCAUCAUGCACCUUUGGAAUGUGAAGGGUGCAUUGCAUAGGCCAAAAGGCAUCCUCCGGAAGGCAUAAAUCCCAUAUGGACAUGUGAAUGAGGUCUUCUCUCUGCCCUCUGGUGCAAUGGAGAUUUGGUUGUACCCUGAGUACCCCUCCAGAAAAUAGAAGUGGGACCUCCCUGCCAGUCUGUCAAGCAUCUGAUCAAUGAAGGGAAAUGGGAAGUGGCCUUUCUGGAUGGCUAGAUUUAAUUUCCUAUGGUCCAUACAAAUUCUCUAGCCUGUGACGGUUCCUGUAGAGAUCAGCUCAUUGUUAUCAUUUUUUACCACCGUCAUACCACCCUUCUUUCGAACACAUUGCACCGAGCUAACCCAAUUGUUGUCAGAGAUGGAGAAAAUGAUUCCCGCAUCCAACCACUUAAUGACCUCCUUCUUCAUCACUUCCUUCAUGUUGGGGUUCAGCCUUCUUUGGUGCUCCCCUAGAAGGUUUAUGCCCCUCUUCCAACAGAAUUUUAUGCAUACAGUAUAACGGACGGAUCACCUUAAUGUCUGCCAUGGUCCACCCGAUGGCAGUCUUGCACUUCGCGAGUACCUUCAAAAGUUGUUGUGCCUGCACAUCUAACAAACUAGAUGAGAUAAUAACAAGUAAUAUGGAGUUAGGUCCUAGGAACACAUACCUGAGAUGGGCGGGUAGUGGCUUCAACUCCAGCUUUGGUGGUUCUUCUAUGGAUGGUUUGGCUGGAGGAAUUUAUCUAUUUUUUAAGUGUAGGGGCUCGAAUUCAAGUGUUCUCUCCCAAAACCCUCUGCCCUCUAGAGCCAGCACCCAUUCCUCCAAUUCUUCUCCAUUCACCUCAUCUAAAUUCACAAGACAUGCAGCAAGAGGAUCCUUAAUAGUCAGUGUCUCAUCAUCCUCUUCCACGAUUACGCCAUGGCAUCAAUAAGAGAACAAUUGGCGAAUUCACUUGGUCGCCUCAUAGAUUUCUACACGUUAAAUGUUAUCUCCUCAUCAUUCAACCUCAUUUUGAGCUCCCCAGUUUCACAAUCAAUAAGGGAUCACCCUGUGGCCAAGAACGGCCUUCCCAAAAUUAUGGGAAUUUCUUCAUCCACUCUACAAUCUAGAAUCACAAAAUGUGCAGGGAACACAAAUUUCCCUACCUGUACUAACACGUCAUCCAAAAUACCUGAGGGUCUUUUCACAGUUUUGUCAGCCAGCUGCAACAACAUAGACGUGGGGAAUGGACUCAUUGAGCCGGAUAAGGAGCGGAUUGGGAAUCCCAGUAUAUGCCGAUGAGUGUACAACAAAAGUAGAAAGGAUAUCCUAUGCUAGAAUUCUUGUGGAAAUGGACAUCACAAAACCAUUGCCAAUAAGAAUUCUAGUUAAGGAUCCGAGCAGUAGGCAAUUUGAACAACCAGUUACUUAUGACUGGAAGUACUAUAACAAUUGCUUGCAUCUAGGACAUAAUUGUCGAGUCAAACAAACACAACAACAAAUAAAUAAGCAGUAAAAACAGAAGCAUGAAUGGAAACCAAAUGAGCAGGGGAAUCAAUGCCUUACAAAAGAUGAGAAUCAAACAUCAGCUGUGAAUGCAGAACCAAUAAACAAAAAGCACAAUACGCAGGAAACAACAACUGAGGAGGAUGAAGGGUGGCAAGCAGCAAAGGGGAAAUCAGCCACAAAAAACACUCAAAUAACAUCAACAAGAGGGGUUGAAGUGGGUAAUGGAUUUAAUGUUCUUAAUAACUCAUGCUCUACUACACAGAGUAAUAUGAUAAACAGGGUUGAUAGAGGACAAUAGGGUAGGUAUGAAGGAAGGAAUACCAUACAAUAUAUCUAAAUGAAGCUAGUCAGUUGGAAUGUUAGAGGGCUAAAUAAAGUGUAUAAGCAAAAGGAGAUGCAGAGGUAUAUUAAAGUACAAGAAAAGUUUUCACAAAAAAUCAUACAAAAAAUAGCUCCUACAUGGUAAUAGUGUGCAAACUAUGAUGGUGGAGGGAAGGGUAGAGUAUGGGUUAUCUGGGAUCCAAAUGAAAUCGGAUUCACUGUGAAGGAAGCAAAAACUCAUUACAUUCAUGGAGAAGUAGUUCAGCUGGAUACAAAAUUAGAAUUUACAUUUACAGCCAUCUAUGGCUGCAUACAAUAGAGGCAAGGAAAAGUUUAUGGAGGGACUUAAUAAACUGGAGCCAAUAUCAGACAAAGCCUUGGCUAUGCAUGAGUGACUACAAUACUAUUUUGGCAGUGGAAGAUAGAAUAAAUGGUAGCUCAGUACAAGAAAAUAAAAUUAAAGACUUCAAAGAAUUCCUAAUAAAUACAGGAAUGUGUGAGAUGAGAACAGUGGGAAAGGACUAUACAUGGACUAAUUCACAUGUGUUCAGUAGAAUAGACAGGACAAUAGUAAAUGCAGAAUGGGUAAUUAACAUGCCACAAGUAGAUGCUGUGAUUAUGGAUCCUCUCUUCUCGGAUCAUUCCCCUUUAUGUGUUAAGCUUGGAGAAGAACCAAAGGCCUCAAAGCCAUUUAGAUUCUUUAGCUGUCUGGUUGAGCACAAGGAUUUCCUUCCAAUAGUGACAGAAGCAUGGAAUAAAUCAUCACAACCAAGGAAUAUGGCAGGAGUCUGGAGGAAAUUGAAAGAUGUUAGAAGAGAAUUAAAAGGGCUGAAUACAAAUGAAUUCCAAGUAGUAGAUUUGAGGGUCAAAAAUGCUAGACAAAAGCUACAGAAAGUUCAGUAACAGAUGAGAACUACAAGCAUAUCAUUACAGAAGUUUGAAGAAGAGAAAGAACUGAAACAACAACUAGAGAAAUGGGCUACCAUAGAAGAAAGCAUCUAUAAACAGAAAUCUAGAAAUCAGUGGCUGAAGUUAGGAGAUUCUAAUACUGCUUUCUUCUUUGCCAGCAUAAAGAACAGGAUAAGCCAUAAUAAGAUCAGGAGCUUGAAGACUAAUGAUGGAGAAAUAAUUCAGUCUAAGAGUGCGAUAGAAAAAGAAAUUGUGGAAUUCUAUAAAUGGUUAUUAGGAUCUGCAGCUGAUACCAUACCAACCAUACAACCAACCAUUAUGAAGAAGGGCAAUGUACUAGAUAGGAGGCAACAAUUGAAGCUAAUAGAACCUGUUACUAUAGAGGAAAUUCAAAAUGCUCUAAAAGGGAUAAAUGAUCAAAAGGCUCCAGGAUGUGAUGGAUUCAAUUCAAAGUUUUUUAAGAAGACAUGGAGUAUCACAAGUCAAGACAUAUCUAAGGCAGUGCUUUAGUUCUUCGAUACAGCUGAAAUGCAUCUGCCCAUUAAUGUAACAACUGUUACACUGAUACCUAAGGUUCAGCAUCCUUCAACAAUCAAAGAGUUCCGGCCUAUUUCUUGCUGCACGGUGUUAUACAAGAUUAUUUCAAAAAAUUUGACUAGCAGAUUGCAAGGGGUGAUGGAUCAUUUAGUAGAUAAAAGCUAAUCUGGCUUUGUUCCAAGAAGAGUUACCACAGACAACAUAAUUCUAAGCCAUGAACUAGUCAAAGGGUACAGGAGGAAGGGCAUCUCACCUAGAUGUGUCAUGAAAAUAGACAUGCAGAAAACCUAUGACUCCAUUGAGUGGGAAUUCUUAGAACAAGUGUUGAAUAAUUUGAACAUCCCAGAGAAGUUUGUUAGAUGGAUAAUGGUAUAUGUAAAGACAAUAUCCUACUUUAUACUCAUUAAUGGGAAACCUAAGGAACCAUUCAAAGCUAGAAGAGGAUUGAGACAGGGUGAUCCACUAUCACCAUUUCUUUUUGUGCUUGGUAUGGAGUACCUUACAAGGAGUUUCAAAACUUUGAAGUAUAAGCCAGAUUUCAACUUCCAUCCUAGAUAUGAUAAACUAAAUAUCAUUCAACUGGGUUUGCAGAUGACCUGUUAUUGUUCUGUAGAGGAGAUACUAUUUCUAUCCAAAUGGUAUUCAACUGUUUCAUGGAAUUCUCUAAGGCAUCUGGCCUAAAAGCACACAUAACAAAGAGUUCCAUAUACUUUGGGGGAGUUCCACAAGAUAUACAACAGAGCAUAGUACAAGUAACUGGUUUUAGCAGGGGAGAGUUUCCUUUCAAGUACCUUAGAGUUCUACUCAGUACUAAGAGGAUUACUAUGAUACAAUGCCAGCCACUCCUGGAGAGAAUAUUAGGAAGAAUUACCUCCUGGACUUCAAAGUAUCUAUCUUAUGCAGGAAGGUUGCAAUUGAUCAAAACAGUGUUGUUCUCCAUCCAAAUAUACUGGUCCCAGAUAUUUGUAAUUCCUAAGAAGAUGAAGAAGAAGAAGAUAGAAGCAGUUUGUAGAACAUUUCUAUGGACAGGUGGAACAAAUGCUUCAAAAAAAGCUUUGCUAUCAUGGGACAAAGUAUGCUCUCCAAAGACUGCUGGUGGAUAUAAUGUAAUGGAUGUGCUUACAUGGAAUAAAGCUGCAAUUUGCAAAUUACUAUGGAAUCUGUGUAGAAGAAAGACAAAUUGUGGGUUCAGUGGAUUCAUUUGUAUUAUGGGAAGAAACAAGAAGUGUGGGAAACCAAUCCAAGCAAUGCAUCAUGGAUAGUUCAGAAAAUCAUUAAGGCAAAAAUAUAUGUAGAGGCAGCAGGGAUUGAUAUGAAAGAACUGGCAGAAUGGAACUACUUCUCUAUCAAGAAGUGGUACAAAGGCAUGCGAGGACAGUAUCAUAGAGGAAAUUAACGUGCAACAAUUUAGGGGCUCCAAAAUGGAUUGUUGUGCUGAAUCUAGCUCUGCAAAAUAGACUCCUUACAAGAAGUAGACUCCAUGCGUGGGGAAUUACAAAUGAAGUAAGUUGCCCCAUAUGUACUGAUGAAGAUGAGACCAUAGAUUAUUUAAUGUUUAAAUGUAGAGUUACUGGAAGUAUAUGGAGCAAGUUGCUGCUGUCACACCUCCUUUUUACUACACCCCCGUAAGGGUAUAAGGGAGUUUUUUCCAAUUUAAGUGACAAUCAAAAUGGGAUUUAUUUAUUUAUUUAAGUUCAGAGUCACCACUUGGGAUAACUUAUGGUGUCCCAAGUCACCGGUUCAAAUCCCGAAUCGAGGAAAAGAUUGACUCUGUAUUACAGUCCGCAAACACAGAAAUUCAGGUAAGGAAUUCUAUUAACCCGGGAGAAGGUGUUAGGCAUUCCCGAGUUCCAUGGUUUUAGCACGGUCGCUCAACUGUUAUUAUNNNNNNNNNNNNNNNNNNNNNNNNNUUAACCGCUUUAUUUAAUUAAUUUUAGGAAAAAUUCAAUGUCAUCUAAACACGUCUUGAACCACGUCACAUAAAUGCACCCGCGGUUCAUGACACAUUUUAUCUAACGUUGCUGAGAUUUGGAUUUGGGUCACAUAAAUGCGCACCCGAGUUUAAGGAAAUUAAUUUAAAUUAUGCGCCUAAAGCAACUACAAGGUUCAUUAUUCUUCAAUUCCUAAGUUCGAGAUUGUUGUGAGGCCAUAGAUUAUAGAUAACUAAAUGAGUGCACCAUAAUGUACGAACUAAUGGCUCAUCUAAGCCAUUAAAUAAUCACAGAGAACCAAAGGCUUAAAACUAUAAAAUCACUCUACGUCUCCAAAUCUUUCAAUCGCUGAUUCCUAUAUUUGCGCAUUAGAAUUAAAAGCUCACUAUUACUAUGACGAAAACUAUCCACAUGAACACUACAACAGUUACAUCAGACAUAUGACUCAAUUGAAUCAACUUAAGAUUAAUAAAAGUGUAUCUAAUCAUUUUAGCAAAGGCAUGAAGUAAGUAAAACAGAGAGAGUAAUCUCAAAGAAACAGACAAACAUAUUAAGAUGACGGACUGAAAGAAAACCAAUACAGAGUAGCAAAAAUGAAUCCAGAUCUUUCACCAAACUAGUAAAAUAAAUAUGAGAUAAAAUAAACACAAGGAAAAAAACCUGUAGUAUUGCAAAGCAAAGUACUUAUUUGAUAUAAUAAUAACAGCCAUCCUCCAACUUAGAGCAACUCGUCAGAACCAGAACUAAACAUCGUCAACCUCUUUAACAGAAUCUCGGACGACAACCACCUCAACGACGGCUUGGAUUUUCGAAAGACCUUGGGGUUGUUUCAUGGUGUUAAAGUGUGAUUUUGGAGCUGGUUUCAGGGAAAGAUUUGAGGGUGUUUCUGAAGCUGUUCGUAUCUGCUUUGUUGUUGCACCUUUGGAUGGGUUUUGGGUGGUUCACUGGGCUGGUUUUCAGCUGAGUUUCAGGGGUUUACAAGGUUAAGUUUUGGGCGAAGUUUGGAGUGUUUAACGGAGACUUUGUAGUGUUUUGAUGGCUGGUUUCAUGGCGAAAACGUGAGGGAGUAGGAGACUAAGGUGGAGGGAGUUAUGAAUCGUGAUGUUAGCGUGCUGUUGCUGUUCGUUUUCCGGCGAGAUCGACGGUUGAAGAAGAAGAACGAUGGGGGUCGUUCUUAGUUUUGGCUGUUGUCGAUCUCUCUUUUUGGUUGCUCUCUCAUGGCUGCUACUUUUCUUGUAGAAGAAGAUGAUGCUUGGGGGGUAUCGGCGCAACUUUUCUUUUUU
rnacentral:lncRNA from 1 species